CCUGAUCCAGCCAUGCCGCGUGAGUGAAGAAGCCCUUCGGGUUGUAAAGCUCUUUCGGCGGGGACGAAACGGUCCGUGCCAACACCACGGACUAAUGACGGUACUCGCAGAAGAAGCACCGGCUAACUACGUGCCAGCAGCCGCGGUAAUACGUAGGGUGCGGGCGUUAAUCGGAAUUACUGGGCGUAAAGCGUGCGCAGGCGGCUCCUUAAGUCAGAUGUGAAAUCCCCGGGCUUAACCUGGGAACUGCGUUUGAAACUGAGGGGCUUGAGUGUGGAAGAGGGGGUGGAAUUCCAGGUGUAGCAGUGAAAUGCGUAGAGAUCUGGAGGAACACCGAUGGCGAAGGCAGCCCCCUGGGCUAACACUGACGCUCAUGCACGAAAGCGUGGGGAGCAAACAGGAUUAGAUACCCUGGUAGUCCACGCCCUAAACGAUGUCAACUGGUUGUCGGGGAAGCAAUUCCUUGGUAACGAAGCUAACGCGUGAAGUUGACCGCCUGGGGAGUACGGCCGCAAGGUUA
rnacentral:rRNA from 1 species